GAUGAACGCUAGCGGCAGGCUUAAUACAUGCAAGUCGUGGGGCAGCAUGAGUAGCAAUACUUGAUGGCGACCGGCAAACGGGUGAGGAACACGUACACAACCUUCCUUCAAGCGGGGAAUAGCCCAGAGAAAUUUGGAUUAAAUACCCCAUAAUAUAUUUGAUAAGGCAUCUUAUUAAAUAUUAAAGCUUCGGCACUUGAUGAUGGGUGUGCGGCUGAUUAGAUAGUUGGCGGGGUAACGGCCCACCAAGUCUACGAUCAGUAGCUGAUGUGAGAGCAUGAUCAGCCACACGGGCACUGAGACACGGGCCCGACUCCUACGGGAGGCAGCAGUAAGGAAUAUUGGACAAAUGGACGAAAGUCUGAUCCAGCCAUGCCGCGUGAAGGAUUAAGGUCCUCUGGAUUGUAAACUC
rnacentral:rRNA from 1 species